rnacentral:misc_RNA from 1 species
AGCAAGUCUAAAGAAGAGAAUCACAAAUUGCUGAAUGGAAAUUCGGGAGAUCCUGCAGAAUGGAGGCCCCGAACCCAAAUCAAUGGGAAGAUUGUGGAAGAUGGCAAAACAUUACAUGAAGCAGUGAUUAAUGGUGUUUAGACGAUAAACUUUUCAUGGAAUGCCUUCACUCACUGAGGCCCCCCUGGUACAUACACUGGUAACAAUGCGAUCAUUACAAGUUGUGUUCUUCCAAGUUGAAUAGUUUUGGUUUUAGUGUAGGAUACGAAAUGAAGGUUAUGGAUGUCGUCUCCACGCCGUCCCUAUGUGGUUAAAUUUAAUGUUUGAUCAGCAAAUGUAUCAUGAAAUUCAUUUUAUUUUUUGGUUAAUGCAAAUUAUUUUUCUGGAAUGUGUUAUUCCUUUAUGAGGCAA